UACGUAGGGUGCAAGCGUUAAUCGGAAUUACUGGGCGUAAAGCGUGCGCAGGCGGUUUUGUAAGUCUGUCGUGAAAGCCCCGGGCUCAACCUGGGAAUUGCGAUGGAGACUGCAAGGCUUGAAUCUGGCAGAGGGGGGGUAGAAUUCCGACGUGUAGCAGUGAAAUGCGUAGAGAAUGUGGAGGAACACCGAUGGCGAAGGCAGCCCCCUGGGUCAAGCUUGACGCUCAUGCACGAAAGCGUGGGGAGCAAACAGG
rnacentral:rRNA from 1 species